rnacentral:rRNA from 1 species
AUUGAACGCUGGCGGCAGGCCUAACACAUGCAAGUCGAGCGGAGCGGCGGACGGGUGAGUAAUGCCUAGGAAUCUGCCUGGUCGUGGGGGAUAGCGUCCGCAAACGGGCGCUGUUACCGCAUACUAUCAGAUGAGCCUAGGUCGGAUUAGCUUGUUGGUGGGGUAAAGGCAUACCAAGGCGACGAUCCGUAACUGGUCUGAGAGGAUGAUCAGUCACACUGGAACUGAGACACGGUCCAGACUCCUACGGGAGGCAGCAGUGGGGAAUAUUGGACAAUGGGCGAAAGCCUGAUGCAGCCAUGCCGCGUGUGUGAAGAAGGUCUUCGGAUUGUAAAGCACUUUAAGUGGGGAGGCGUUACUAGCAGAAUAAGCACCGGCUAACUCCGUGCCAGCAGCCGCGGUAAUUC